ensembl:ncRNA lncRNA:CR14310 long non-coding RNA:CR14310
CACACUUUGGUCGGCUAUAAUGACACAAGUACGCAGCACUACACACUCGAGACCCUUGCUGAAAGCACCCCUCCUCCAAUACCAAACCCAUACCAUACCAUACCCACACCAAGCCAUCCCGCACUAUAUCCCAUGCCCACUCCUGAGAUUCCAUCCAUCCACCACCACAACAACGCUGCCGUCAUCGUUGUUGGCCAACCAAUGCGCUCCGUCUGCCGGCUUUUGCGGCUACUACCCACCCCUCUGCUGCUUCCACGUCCACAUCCUCAUCCAAAUCCAAAGUCACCCUCCUCCGCCUUCGCCUUCGCCUCCAUAUCCGACUCCUCCGCUGCCGAUCCCGCCCAGUCCGAGUUUCAGGCCCAUUCAUACGUGGCCAGCUACAUCGGCAGCAGUUUUCAGUAG